GAUGAACGCUGGCGGCGUGCCUAAUACAUGCAAGUCGAGCGAACGGACGAGAAGCUUGCUUCUCUGAUGUUAGCGGCGGACGGGUGAGUAACACGUGGAUAACCUACCUAUAAGACUGGGAUAACUUCGGGAAACCGGAGCUAAUACCGGAUAAUAUUUUGAACCGCAUGGUUCAAAAGUGAAAGACGGUCUUGCUGUCACUUAUAGAUGGAUCCGCGCUGCAUUAGCUAGUUGGCAAGGUAACGGCUUACCAAGGCAACGAUGCAUAGCCGACCUGAGAGGGUGAUCGGCCACACUGGAACUGAGACACGGUCCAGACUCCUACGGGAGGCAGCGGUAGGGAAUCUUCCGCAAUGGGCGAAAGCCUGACGGAGCAACGCCGCGUGAGUGAUGAAGGUCUUCGGAUCGUAAAACUCUGUUAUUAGGGAAGAACAUAUGUGUAAGUAACUGUGCACAUCUUGACGGUACCUAAUCAGAAAGCCACGGCUAACUACGUG
rnacentral:rRNA from 1 species